GCCAGCAUGGUGUAGUGGUUUGAAAGUUGGAAUAUGGCUCAGGAGACCAGGGUUUGAUUCCCUGCUUGGGCA